rnacentral:rRNA from 1 species
UGGGGAAUUUUGGACAAUGGGCGAAAGCCUGAUCCAGCAAUGCCGCGUGUGCGAAGAAGGCCUUCGGGUUGUAAAGCACUUUUGUCCGGAAAGAAAUCCGCCUGGCUAAUACCCGGGCGGGAUGACGGUACCGGAAGAAUAAGCACCGGCUAACUACGUGCCAGCAGCCGCGGUAAUACGUAGGGUGCGAGCGUUAAUCGGAAUUACUGGGCGUAAAGCGUGCGCAGGCGGCUUUGUAAGACAGAUGUGAAAUCCCCGGGCUCAACCUGGGAACUGCAUUUGUGACUGCAAGGCUAGAGUGCGUCAGAGGGAGGUGGAAUUCCGCAUGUAGCAGUGAAAUGCGUAGAGAUGCGGAGGAACACCGAUGGCGAAGGCAGCCUCCUGGGAUGACACUGACGCUCAUGCACGAAAGCGUGGGGAGCAAACA